AGGGAAAUAGCUCAGUGGCAGAGCACAUGCUUAGCAUGCACAAGGCCCUGGAUUCAAUCCCCAGUACCUCCA
rnacentral:tRNA from 1 species